UGCUUCCCGACGUGAUUUUAUAAGUUAGUCCCUUUCUCUCUCGCUAAGACUUUACCUUCCGAUGUUUUUCUCCAUUUACCCUUAGGAACUAUUUACAUGGUGGCAGAACACCACCCACCCUUUAUUUCAAAAUAACGAUCACUCCAGGGCGGUGGGCGGGAUCACGCUCCGAGGAAGACCCGCCUCUACCCUCCCUAGAUUGGCUGCCGGUUCGCUGGACCACACCCCUCUUCCGCACGCCGAUUGGUUAGGACAUGGAUGGACAGUUUCCCCGCCCAUAUGCCACAGUUUUAUUGGUACAAAGGCCUGUCAUCUUUAUUAAUACCAUGUCAAUUGGCUGGCUAGAUUGAGUGACAGCCAUUUCCCCACCCAUUGCCCGGCUCUCCUGCAGUUAAAGAGACAGUAUCCCCUCAAUGUCAGUGCUGGUGAAGGGUCACCUAAGAUCUGGAAUGUUCGGUUAUGUUACUCUGUCUUGCAUGACCUGCUCAAUAUGUUUGCAGCAAUUUUUAUAUUAGGGCAGUUUUGUUAUGUGGUUUUUGAACUCAUAAAUUGGAGUUGUGGUUCAUGAGGGACUGAGAAGGCAAGAUCAUAAACUGUCUUCAGACUUGGGCUUGCUUAUAAACACUUUAUUGCAUAUAAAGGUUAAAUACUCUAAUACAGAGGAGAAGAAACAGGCUUGAAUCUUUUUAUUGUCAAGGAGAUUGACAGCACAGAAAAAGACCCUUUGGCCCUUUGCAUCUGCACCAGUCAAAAGGAACCACCUAACUAUUCUAAUCCCAUUUUCCAGUACUUGGCCUAUAGCCUUAUAUGCCUUGGUAUUACAAGUGCACAUCUAAAUGCUUUUUAAAUGUUAACAGAAGUUUGUGCCUGUACCGCCCUUACAGGCAGUGAAUUCCAGAUUUCCACCAUCCUCUGAAUGAGAGAGAUUUCCCUCACAUCCCCUCUAAACUUCCUGCCUCUUUUAUCUUAAAUCCAAGCCUCCUGGUCAUUGAUCCUUUCAUCAAGGGGGAAGAUUUCUGCCUGUCCUCCCUACCUGUGGUCCUCACUUUAUGCCCAGUGAGAAAACACUCAUGAAUUCUACUGCUCGAAUGCUAAUUGGCCUACUUCAAGCAUUUCUCUGCGUGUUUCUAAAAUUCACGCAGCUACACCAGGGCUCUGCAAAGCUGUACUUGUGUUUUCCCUGUCUCUCUUUCAUUCUAAUUUUGUUUAUGCGUAGUGAGGAGCAGCACUGCAACAUCAUCCAGUGUCCCUUGUACAACAUGCACCUCUGCCCAUGGUUACAGAUAAUUAUCUGUUAACCCUGUGGCUCCCUCUGCAUUAGGAAGAUCAAACUCAGAAUGGGGCAUAUCACUUCAUUGAGCAUAACCGUUCAUUCCUUAAGUAUGACCCUGAGCAUCUGGUCACAUGGAAUAUUUUAAUUCUCUACUCCCAAUCCUGGUCUGAAGCUAAGAGACCACAAAAUUCAGAAAUAAAACCUAAAAUACUGGAGUAUUACAGUUCACUCAAAGUUGCUGGGAGCAGAAGUAGGCUAUUCAGCCAAUUGAGUCUGCUCCUCCCAGUAAGAUCACAUGUUCUGAAAACAUCAAGUCCUCUUUCCUGACCUUUCCACAUGAAGCUUGAUUGCCGUACCAAUUAAAAAAGUGUCCACCUCAUACUUGAAGAUACUCAACAACCUAUCCUCUACAGUCUUCUGCGAUAAGGGGUUCCACAGAUGAAACUAUCUUUCAAGAGAAGAAAUUAUUCCUCAUCUCUGUCUCAAAUCCUGGACUCUCCCACAAGGGGGGGGAACAACCUUUCAACAUCUAUCCUGUCAACUCCUCCUGGAGCUUGUAUGUUUCAAUAUGAUCAUUUCCUCAUUUUUCUAAACUCCAAUAAGUAUAGGCCCAACUUACUCAAACUCUCCUCAGAAAAGGGUCCUUCCAUACUCAGGAUCAAUCUAGUGUUUAUGCAUUAGCAAUUUUUUAAAACCAAUUAAUCUUUCUCUCUUUUGUGGACUUUGUAUUAAUAAAGUUAAGCCUCACCCUGUCCCAAAUACUGAUCCUGCGCCGUUUAAGAAACCCCCAGCUUGCUUUUAACAAAAUUCUAACUGGAACAACUGCACAUUUCUUCAGGCUUUGUAACACGUGCCAGUAGGAAUUCACAUGUACUAACACAUGUCUCCAAUGUCACAAUGACCUUUAUUGUGGCUGUUCUGCAAGGUUUCCAUUGAAUCCAUUAAUAUAGUGUAUGGAAGAUUUGGAGCUAUGACAUAUGAAUAACUGAGUGAAACAUUGCAUCCCCCCACAUUUUGCCCAUUAAACCUCACUUUGUUGUCAUAAUUAUCAUCAUUUCCAUUAAUAAUCUCCAUAUCCUCAUUUGAAAUGAAAACAUCCUAUGUAAACAAGUCACACUGUAAUUUCCUGAAAACAAAAAAAAUGCUGGAACUUGCAGCAGCUCAGGCAGCAUCCAUGGAGGGAAGGCUAUAUUACACAUCUGGGACCGGUGGGACUUGAACUUGGAGAUUUUUGGCUCAAAGUAGUGUCCACUGAAUGUCAACAUGGUCUUGAUCAACCUACAAAAGGCGACUAAUUGUGAGCACGAAAAAAUGAAAAAGUUGUGAUGACAACAGGGCCACAAAACCACAAACUGGGAUUGACAAGACACCAUCUAGUCACAUAAGUAGACAGUCCAGGAAGCGAUAGAGUCCCUGAAAUGACUGAUGUCAGCCAUAAGGUGGAGCCCUUCAGGACAAGCUGAGAACAGCAGCCAGAAGAAUGGAGCUGCUUCAAGGAGGAAGCAAGUGGACCCAGGAAAGGAUCUGAUGGGAAAAUAGGAAAGUACCAGUUACUGGUUUAAAGAAAUCUGCAAGUGGCUUUUUGAGCAGCAACCUUUCCUAUUCAAUACUUCUCUCUCACCCAUCUUAUUAUCUACAGAUUACUUUAGUCAAAUUUUAUUUGAUGAUAUUCUCAUGAAACACUGGAGACAUUUUUCUUCACAUUAAACCUCCACCUCCUCUAAUCCAAGAAUAAAAAGGGAGUUGUAGAGGGUAGUGUCCUUAGCCCAACCAUCUUCAGCUGCUUCACCAAUAACCUUCCCUCUGUUAUAUGGUCAGAAGUGGGGACGUGCAGCAUCAUUCGAGACUCCUCCAGUACUGAAGCAAUCCACGUUCAAAUGCAACAAGAUCUGGACAAUAACCAGGCUUGGGAUGACAAGUAGCAAGUAACAUUCGUGCCACACAAAUGUUAGACUACGACCUGAUGGACGACAUUCAAUUGUGUCACCAUCACUGAUUCUCCCACUAUGAACAUCCUAGGCGUUACUAUUGACCAGAAACUCAACUGGAUUCACCACAAAUCCAGUGGCUACAACCCGCAGGUCAGAGGCUAGGAAUACACUCCAGUAAGCAACUCAUCUCCUGACUCGCCAGCGCCUGUCCAACUACAAGGCACAAGUCAGGAGUGUGAUGGAA